rnacentral:rRNA from 1 species
AUUGAACGCUGGCGGCAGGCCUAACACAUGCAAGUCGAACGAGUGGCGGCAGGGUGAGUAAUGUCUGGGAAACUGCAUGAUGGCGGGGGAUAACUACUGGAAACGGUAGCUAAUACCGCAUACCAUCGGAUGUGCCCAGAUGGGAUUAGCUAGUAGGUGGGGUAAAGGCUCACCUAGGCGACGAUCCCUAGCUGGUCUGAGAGGAUGACCAGCCGCACUGGAACUGAGACACGGUCCAGACUCCUACGGGAGGCAGCGAUGGGGAAUAUUGCACAAUGGGCGCAAGCCUGAUGCAGCCAUGCCGCGUGUAUGAAGAAGGCCUUCGGGUUGUAAAGUACUUUCAGCGGGGAGGCGUUACCCGCAGAAGAAGCACCGGCUAACUCCGUGCCAGCAGCCGCGGUAAUAC